rnacentral:pre_miRNA from 1 species
AAGUGCUGGAGCAGCUUUCAGAUUGGGAUAAUGAGGAUACUGAUGGAGACGAAGGUCCAUCAGGAUCACGAAGAAGCUAUUGCCGUAUUG